rnacentral:lncRNA from 1 species
UGGGGAUGUAGCAAGGGGAAGAUCUAGUCUUCUCAAAGCCCUUGCCCUCAGUCAAGAAUGUGCCCACCGCCACCCACAGCCACCCCACCAUCCCCACUCAGCCAUGGGGGCCCCGCACAUCCACUGGGUUCUCACAGGUGCUCUGCUGCUGCUCCCCGUGAAACUGGCUGGGAAGGAAGACCUCACAGACAGGCUGCUUCAGGGCCGCUCUCUGAACUUCAGACAAUAACCUCCUUUAGUAACAUACAUUAAAUGGUCUGCUGGUCAUGCCGCUAUGCCACUGGGGCCAUGGGAGGAGCCUCUGCCGACCAGACAGCUCGGAUGGAUUUACUUAAGGCCCCCAGAACACGAAGUGACAGCCACUGAGGAAGGAUGACCCUGAUGCUGUCCUCUUCCUCACCAGCUACAUCCUCCGUGAACCCCCUCUGCCUCCUGCCAUGGCUUCCGGACCUCAGCACAGGACAAUGGGCUGGGUAAUCUGGCUGUGGCCACACUGCCUGCUGACUCAGAGGUGGUCAGUUUCAUGGGUCUCAAACAGGGACCCUUGGGUGGGUACCUACCCGCCUGGCGCAUUCCAUAGAUAACUUCCUCUUCCCAAACCCAAACCUAGUCUAGUAUCCAUUUCACAAGGGAUAUAAUGGGCCCUCCCCCCUCCAAGCCCUCUCUGCUCCUGCUCCACCCCCUUCUCUUCCUGACUGUGAGUUACCUCCCAUCUUCUGCAGUCAGUGGGAGAGCAGUUAUAAACGAGCUGGUGUGGCAGGGCUUACUGCUUCCACAGAAUGCCACACCCUCUCUUGUGUUCACAAGCAUCCCCCUUUCAAGUUGCUUCUGAACCCCUGCCUAAGACCUUCCUAGCCUCGGGCCACAGCUUCAGGAGUAUGUGUGACAAAGCUAAGACACAUGCUGGUCCCCAGAGAAUAAUCAGAUAUUGCAGAAAGUCCAGCAAGCACCAGGCAUCUUCAGCUAACUGUUGGUCUGCAGCCCACCUGGGCAGUUGGUUAGAAAUGCAGGAGUCUCAGAGCCCGUGCCCACCUGCUCUGUUAGAGCAUGCAUCGCAACAGGGAUUUCAGUGUCCAAAACCUAGCCACAUAAACGGAAGAGGACCCAGGAGAAUGUUAAGGCAGGGACUGGGGAUGAAUGUAAUGAGGGUUUAUGUAUCAACAGAAGUGAUACAUUUAGAACAGGGAGCUGAAGCCCUACAGAAAGGACCCUUAGCCUACCACGGGAACCUUUACUGGUUCCUGCGGGCAAUUGCAGCUAGGCAGGUACCAAGGAAGGGCAGAAACAAGCCUCCAUGUCUGUGUGUGUGUGUGUGUGUGUGUGUGUGUGUGUGUGUCUGUAUCUUUAUGUCUGUGUGUCUGUGUCUUUAUGUCUGUGUCUGUGUGUCUGUGUCUGUGUCUUUAUGUCUGUGUGUCUGUGUGUGUCUGUGUGUGUGUCUGUGUUUGUGUCUGUGUCUGCCUGGGAAACUGACGUGGCUCCACAGGGAACUUCUUGAACCAAAGCCUUAAAAGACAGGCGUUGCAGAGAUACAGCAGCAGGAUUCCCAUCACACUGAUUCUGCCUGUAUCUUUCAUGCCCAGAGAGUCCGAGGGAGAGCAUCACUCUCGGGUCCUGAGCAGGUGAAGCUUCCCAACACUCUACUCAGGGAACAGUUUCUUUUCUAGACCUGCCUGGGACCACAUGAAUACAUUCCUAGAGCUAAGCCCACAGGGUGGGGAUGCUGGGUUAGAUGUCUUCCCUCACUAUACAGAAUGCAAGUGUGGUUCUCAAUGCCAUGCCACAGCUGACCCAGAACCCUGAGCAAGAUGCAAGGCAGCAGCUCAGGUGUUGCCCAGAAUCUGCCCUCUGUGACCCCAGUCCCUUACCAGAAGAAAGAGGUCCCCCAUUCAGAGCCGUCAUCACCCUGUUUCUGAGCCCUGAUGGUCAGAUCGAAGCAGGCGCCAUCAUUGGGCCAUGCGAAAUAGAACACCCCUGAGCUCAGGAUUUUCUUUAAGGUGGGCAGGCGGUCCUCUUCCUUGGCCUCUUCCUGCAGGGGGUACAACUCAGUGGCAGUGAUUUUGUAGAUCUCUGCAUCUGGAAUUCUGCCCACUGACAUGCAGCCUGUCACCAACACCAGAAAGCUCAAGGGGACGCCACCUAGAAGGGACAUCAGACAUAAGAAUUAUGGAACCUGAGC